rnacentral:rRNA from 1 species
CGCGUAGGCGGCAUUGCAAGUCAGAUGUGAAAGCCCCAGGCUUAACUUGGGAAUUGCAUCUGAAACUGCUUUGCUUGAGUCCUGGAGGGGGUAGUGGAAUUCCCAGUGUAGCGGUGAAAUGCGUAGAUAUUGGGAGGAACACCGGCGGCGAAGGCGGCUACCUGGACAGUGACUGACGCUGAUGCGCGGAAGCUAGGGGAGCGAACGGGAUUAGAUACCCCGGUAGUCCUAGCCGUAAACGAUGGGCACUUGGUGUUGGGGGUAUUGAGUCCCCCGGUGCCGGAGUUAACACGUUAAGUGCCCCGCCUGGGGAGUACGGUCGCAAGACUGAA